rnacentral:rRNA from 1 species
GUCUACGGCCAUACCAUGUUGAAAGCACCAGUUCUCGUCCGAUCACUGAAGUUAAGCAACGUCGGGCUCGGUUAGUACUUGGAUGGGUGACCGCCUGGGAACACCGAGUGCUGUAGACUCCA